rnacentral:rRNA from 1 species
CCUACGGGGGUCAGCAGUGAGGCAUAUUGGUCAAUGGACGAGAGUCUGAACCAGCCAAGUCGCGUGAAGGCUGACUGCCCUAUGGGUUGUAAACUUCUUUUAUAUGGGAAUAAAACGUUCCACGUGUGGGAUUUUGUAUGUACCAUAUGAAUAAGGAUCGGCUAACUCCGUGCCAGCAGCCGCGGUAAUACGGAGGAUCCGAGCGUUAUCCGGAUUUAUUGGGUUUAAAGGGAGCGUAGGUGGAUUGUUAAGUCAGUUGUGAAAGUUUGCGGCUCAACCGUAAAAUUGCAGUUGAAACUGGCAGUCUUGAGUACAGUAGAGGUGGGCGGAAUUCGUGGUGUAGCGGUGAAAUGCUUAGAUAUCACGAAGAACUCCGAUUGCGAAGGCAGUUCACUGGACUGCAACUGACACUGAGGCUCGAAAGUGUGGGUAUCAAACAGGAUUAGAUACCCGAGUAGUC